UCACCCUCAUAAAAGGAUAAAGUAUCUCAGCAGAUAUCCAGGCUUAGGCAGUGAGCUUGAGAGUAAACUCACAAGCCUUAGUUAUCUACACCAAACACCCGGUGCACAGGGUAUCGUCUACAUAUUGUCAGUUAGUGUUCAUUAGCUUGUAAAUCUUGGGUUUGUGAGGCUUUAGCAAAGGUAAAAGCUGCCACAGAUAGAAAAGAGAUGUUUUAAAUACCAGUGCCAAGCACUUAGUAAUGGCAAAUGCAUCUUUGAAUCAGAUUUCACCUCUACUAAGCAAAUAAAUUAGAAAAAAGAAAUGCACCAGCAAAUCAGGAAAGAAAUCUCCUGCAUCUAUUUGAUCUGCAGAUGUGUGAGAAAGGGAAAAAAUACAUGUUGGAAGAUAUUAGCUUAUAUUUCAUUCAUUUUCAUAAUUCUUUUUGAAUGUUUAGAGCCAGAGUUCUUGGUUCUUUACUUGUGAAGUGUGCAGACACUGCGAUGAGAUGCCCUGACCCUAGACACAUGCAAGCUUCUGCUCAAGGAACUGUGCCAGUGUCUCUGUGGUCCUGCAAAAUCAUCUGCCCGCUCACCCCCAGGUGCUUAAAAAGAGCCCUACAGAGUGGCUGCCCAUCUUUAACUUAACAUGUACCACCAAGGAGCAGAGCAGUGACACUGCCCAACAAAAUGUUCAUAAUUACAUAUACUGCCAGGUCAGCAUGUCUGCUUCAGGGCCAGGGGAUGAGGGCUGCAGUGCUAUGAAGGCAACAAGAUCCAAAUAGGUGGGGACCUUGGGAAAAAUUAUUUCUGUGUCCUCGCAUGUGACUUCAACCCUCUCAGCUGCAUUACAGCUGUUCUGAGACUUUCCAAAGCAGAACAGAAAGAUCAGGCACUGAUUUCCACUCACUCCGAGCAGGAAUAGGUAACUGACUCCAGUCCCAUGGAACAGUCCAGCUGGGCUCUCACCUGUACCUGAGUCAAAGUGUAUAUAUUUUAUUUUCAGACCAGCUGCUGUCUUCUAAACUGCUUCUCUUCCCACACAAGCAUUAACAGCAAGUACUCCCCAAGGCCUGCUGAGAGAUGACACUGGCUGCCUAUACAUAGGAGCCUGCCCAGUAUCAGUACACUGGUCUGUCUUAUGUCUCUGUGGGAGUAGGUACCAGCUGAGUAUAGGAAGGUACGUAGGCCAUUAGAAGCUUCUCUCAUGUGUGAAGAUCAAUGUAAAAUAAAGCCCAACCUUUUCUUCCUGACAGCUGCUUGCAACACUCUACUUCAGAAAUUCACUACCAUGCAUUAAAGGAGCAUGAUCACUUUUUGGCUAGGGAAAUAGCCUUUUGGGAAGCAACUUUCCAUUUGGAAGAAGUCCCUAUUUUCCUGCAGAAACAUCAGAUUUAGUCCUCCCUCAUCCCAUUUGUUUUGUCAUUUUCUUAUCCCUUCUUUUCCAUUAGCCCACUCUAUUCAUCUCACUAGAAAAAUGGAAGAAGAGAGGAGGGAAGGAAGGAAGAAUGCAACCCUGAAUUUCAUAUGCAGAAAGUCCUUUAUUUCUAUUCAAUUUUUUAUAGUCAUUGGUCUUUCAGCUAUACUUCUCCGCUUCUGGCUAUACUGGUUCAAAAGUACAUUAUACCUUGAUCUUCUCCCCUUAUCAGUGCUUCCCUUCCAGCAAUUGAUUAAUUAUUUGUUUCCAAAACUCCAUCCAUAUAAAUGUCCUUCCUCCUUUUCAGCUCAUCACCAGCAGAAGCAUUUCGGCUAGCUGAACUGACAGUAAUGUAAUUCUGGUUGAAUAUGAAACAAAAAGGAGAAUCAUGCUCAACGAUUACAUGAAGCGAUACCUGCAUCCAAUAAUAUCUUGACAUACACAUAGAAGCCUACCUUGAACAGAUUAAAUAACGAAGAAGAAAGUCUUGUCUCUUUACUUAACAUCAUGAUUCCUCAGUUCUAGCACCACACAGUUAAUGAUCUGAUAUGAAGAAGUGUCUUCCUGACAUAUACUUAAAAGACAAAGCAAUGAAAAUAAACCCUGACUUCCCUAAACUUCAGCCUCUGAAGUCUGGUGGAAAACACUCUUUACAGAUGACCUUAAAGAGGUGGUUAUCCCAGCUUGUGGAAAAAAUAAUAAAAAAAAAAAAAAUUAAAAACAUCAACAUAGUAUUACUGUUCAUCAUAUUUAAAAGGUUUUUAUUACACCAUCUCAAGCCUUUCCCUUGCACUGGAUUAUUCCUGUAGGCCAAGUCUCUGUACUCUUCAUCUGACCUUCUAGACCUUACUUCUUUAGCAAACCAGCCACUGCUGCAGCCAACCAAGCUAGCAAUCUGCCCUGGUGAGCCAGAGUUCACUUGGGGAUCUAGCACCACUUUCCUGGUUUUAAAAGAGUCCCUGAAACCCUUUUCAUCUGUCAUCUUGCAAAGUUAGACUUGAGUAGGACACAGAGCGAGGUAUGACUGUGGUAGGCCUUUGCCGGCUGCUGCAGAGCAGUGCACGGAAAGUCAGCAGUUCCAUGUGUUUUCCUUCUGGCUUUCUCCACAAAUUUCAAACAGAGGCACUUGCAAGUAUAAUAUAUCCAGUCGGAUGAGUCAACAGACCUCGGUGAGCAGGGCCGUCAGCCUGCAGUGACAACAGGAUGGGACUGGCCGCAGGAGUGUGUCAGCGAGGGGUUACUCCUCAGCACAACGGCCACUGAAGUCACACGCUGAGAAUUUUGUUUAUAAAGUGAAUUCCGUAGGUAUAAGUCAUCAGGAGAAGAAAAAGCCCCACGGACAAUAUUAUAUAAUCCAGAUAAAUUUACUAAUAGGGGAUUUUCCAGUGGAAGAAACCUUACAUCAUGCUUAAGCAAGUAAAAAUAAACCUGGCACUUGUAUUUGUUCUAAACACAAGAAGAGCCUUGAUGAACUACUUGUUACAUUUUUUGGCUAAUUAUUAGUCAUGCUGAGCAUUGUGAUGUUGGUUGCAAAUUUAUUCCAUAACUGCAUCCUAACCUCAAUAUUGAAGUAGUGUAAGCUUUCAAAAUCACUUUCUUUGUAAGGCUCACUGUUUCCAGAGAACAAUACAUUUUCCUUUCCUAAUUAUUGCUGAUGUUUUAGCCAUUAUUGAACCUCUUAUGACCUUCUUCAGAGAAGAAAAUAAUACUGAGCUUUGAAACAAGUUACUUGUGAAGUAAAACUAAUCAAAUGUAAGGUUUGUAUAGCAAGACCUGACGCUCCCCCCCAUAUGCCAGAUACAUUUAAAAAUCUUUGUAGUUGGAAAAACAAUUACUUCCACUGAAUUUUGCAUCUGAACAUCACAAAUGAAAGAAGAUGUGGUUUAUGACAGAGUAAAAAAAAAAAAAACCAAACAACACAACCAACCAAAAACAAGCAAACAAACAAAACAACAACUAAAAAACAAACAAUGGAUCCAAAGUAUGACUGAAAUGACUGUGGUCCUAAGAGCAAAGCAAACACAGAAGAUGCAAAACCAGAUAUAUUGUCUGGA